rnacentral:lncRNA from 1 species
CUUCUUCUAAGUGCUGAGGCUGACCUGCCUGCUCCAUUUCCUCUUCUUCAAGUUCUUUUUUGCGUUCCUCUUCUGCCUGAUCAACAUGUUGCUCGUCAUCCUCUCCAGCUUCUUGCUGCUCCUGAAUAUUUACUUCUUUGGCAUGCUGGCCCUCGUUAGCCCUGCCUGCUCCAUUUCCUCUUCUUCAAGUUCUUUUUUGCGUUCCU